UACGAGGGGGGCAAGCGUUGUUCGGAAUUAUUGGGCGUAAAGGGCGCGUAGGCGGUGCGGUAAGUCUGAUGUGAAAUCUCCGGGCUCAACUCGGAGUCUGCAUCAGAAACUGCCGUGCUCGAGUGUGGGAGAGGUGAGUGGAAUUCCCGGUGUAGCGGUGAAAUGCGUAGAUAUUGGGAAGAACACCGGUGGCGAAGGCGGCUCUCUGGACCGAUACUGACGCUGAGGCGCGAAAGCGUGGGGAGCAAACAGG
rnacentral:rRNA from 1 species